UGAUGAUGAUGAUGAUGAUGAAGACUUCUCACAGCUUUGGAUCUCUUUUGUAACCCCAAUUGGAGAACAACACAAACGUUUCCUCAGUUAUGACAACAUGCAGUUUCCUCUAGGCACAGGUUUCUAUAGUGAGAGAAGCUGGAUUGGAAGAAGAUGAGCGUGGCUUUAAAGUUGAAGGAAGAGACAUCAAUAACUUGUGCUACACUGAUGACACCACUCUGAUAGUUGAGAAUGUGGAUGAUCUGCAAGCACUAGUAAUGAAAGUCAAGGAGCACAGUGAAAAAAUGGGACUAGAACUAAAUGUAAAGAAGACUAAACUACUGACAAUGGGUACAACAGCCAGCCUCAGAAUUAACAAUGAAGACAUUGAAAUGGUGGAUAGCUUCUGCCUUUUAGGAUCGGCCAUCAACAGUAAAGGAUCCAGCAGUCAAUAAAUACGCUGCAGACUAGCACUUGGCAGGGUUCCAAUGAAGGCCUUAGAAAGGAUAUUUAGAUGCUGUGACAUGUCUACACCUACAAAGAUUAGAAUAGUUUGGACCAUGGUUUUCCCCGUGACACUCUAUGGAAGUGAAAGCUGGACUUUGAAGAAGCAAGACAGAAAAAGUAUUGACGCUUUUGAACUUUGUUGCUGGAAAAGACAUUUGAGGAUACCAUGGACAGCCAGGAAAACAAACAAAUGGAUCAUAGAACAAAUCAAUCCAGAAUUUUCACUCAAGGCACAAUGACCAGGCUCAAACUAUCAUACUUCAAACACAUUAUGUGAAAACCCAGCUCCCUUGAGAAGUCCACAAUGCUGGGGAAAGUUGAAGGAAAGAGGGUGACCAGCAGCAAGGUGGAUGGACUUGAUUACGACAGCAAUGAAUGCACCAGUGAGAGACCUUAAAGACCAAGUUGAAGACAGAUCAACCAGGGAAGAAUCUAUGUGGUUGCUAAGAGUCAACACCAACUUGACGGCACUCAAUCAAUAGUGUUUCAAGCAGUACGGGAGCUAGCACUGCUGCAACAGAGAUGUACAAAUGUUGGUUUGACUGACUGGAGUACCUAAGUUGGAUAAUAACAAUAAAUAUAAUAUAUUUUUUAAAUUAUAUAUUUUAAAAACUCUCCAUAAAAGGGAGAGGUUAAAUAAAGGUAAUACCCUGCAUUUACUCAAAAGGAAAAUGGCUCCCAAUUUAAGAUGACCUCUCAAUUUCUAAUACCAAAACAUUUGGGGCAAAACUAUUCUUAGAUUCAGGUAAAUACAGUAUAAGAGAAUCAAAUCCUCUUUCAUCCAGUUAGCAGGAUUGUUAAAUGGAAAAAGAGAUGGCUCUCUUAAAGGUGGCUCUCUUUUAAAGCAGUAGCUCUCCUACUGUAUAUUUAGCAGGUAGAGAGCGACUUCCAUAUUCAGUCCAGCAUAGCAUCCCUCCAGUAGUUGUAGCUGGUGUCUCCUUCAUAAUUUAGACCAGGGGUUUCCAACCUGGGGUUUUCAGAUGUUGUUAGACUAACUCUCACCAUCCCCUUUGGUCACUGUAACUGGGGAUAAUGGGGAUUGUAGUCCAUCAACAUAUGAGGUCCUUUUGAACAGGGAACUAUUUUCUUGUUUCUUUUUGCUAUGUAAACUGUUUUGCAAAAUUUUUGGUUGAAAAGCUAUGUAUAAAAUUAAUAUUUACAUAUCUGCACACAGGGGUACUAACAGGAUUUUCUGGGCCCAGUACAUGGAGGAUUGGUGGAUUAGAUCUCCCACCCACAAUCUAGCAGCAAGACAGCUGCUUGGUCCUUUGCCAUUAUUACAGUUUACAGUUUUUCUGCUCCCGGAUGCCCAGCUAUUUCUUCUCCCCUCUGGUCACACAUGCACACACAAGUGAUGUGGGAGACUUGCCCAACUUAUGUAUGCUUUCACAAGAGUAAACCCUAUUAAUUUCAA